AAUAAGUGCAAUUUUGCACUAUUCACGUUCAAUGUUUGACCGUUCGUCUUAUUCGAAAAUUUUUUAUGAUUAGUAUUUCUAUUGCUAUUAGAUGAUAAAACAUAAAUAGUACUAUGUGUGACUAAAUAUUUUUAAAUUUUCCGCAAAUUUUUCAAAUAAGACAGACGGUCAAACGUUGGGCACGAAUAUCCACGGCUGCACUUAUU
rfam:Oryza barthii chromosome 6, whole genome shotgun sequence.